rnacentral:rRNA from 1 species
GACGAACGCUGGCGGUGUGCUUAACACAUGCAAGUCGAACGGUAAGGCCCUUUCGGGGGUACACGAGUGGCGAACGGGUGAGUAACACGUGAGUAACCUGCCCUCAUCUCUGGGAUAACAGUCGGAAACGGUUGCUAAUACUGGAUAUGAGCUUGCAAGGCAUCUUGUGGGUUGGAAAGAUUUUUUUUGGUUGGGGAUGGACUCGCGGCCUAUCAGCUUGUUGGUGAGGUAGUGGCUCACCAAGGCUUCGACGGGUAGCCGGCCUGAGAGGGCGACCGGCCACAUUGGGACUGAGAUACGGCCCAAACUCCUACGGGAGGCAGCAGUGGGGAAUAUUGCACAAUGGACGGAAGCCUGAUGCAGCAACGCCGCGUGCGGGAUGACGGCCUUCGGGUUGUAAACCGCUUUCAAUUGUGACGAAGCUUUUUUGUGACGGUAGCAGUAGAAGAAGCACCGGCUAACUACGUG